GACGAACGCUGUCGGCGUGCCUAAUACAUGCAAGUUGAGCGCUGAAGGUUGGUACUUGUACCAACUGGAUGAGCAGCGAACGGGUGAGUAACGCGUGGGGAAUCUGCCUUUGAGCGGGGGACAACAUUUGGAAACGAAUGCUAAUACCGCAUAAAAACUUUAAACACAAGUUUUAAGUUUGAAAGAUGCAAUUGCAUCACUCAAAGAUGAUCCCGCGUUGUAUUAGCUAGUUGGUGAGGUAAAGGCUCACCAAGGCGAUGAUACAUAGCCGACCUGAGAGGGUGAUCGGCCACAUUGGAACUGAGACACGGCCCAAACUCCUACGGGAGGCAGCAGUAGGGAAUCUUCGGCAAUGGACGAAAGUCUGACCGAGCAACGCCGCGUGAGUGAAGAAGGUUUUCGGAUCGUAAAACUCUGUUGGUAGAGAAGAACGUUGGUGAGAGUGGAAAGCUCAUCAAGUGACGGUAACUACCCAGAAAGGGACGGCUAUCUACGUG
rnacentral:rRNA from 1 species